UCUCUUUCUCCGCGGGCAGCGGCGGCGGCGCAAGGAGCCUGCCCCGAGCUGCCCCGGACCCGCGCGGCUGCUCCGAGCGCUUACUCCAUCCCCUCGCCCGACUUCCAAACGUGAAGAGAUCAAGAUGAGCAAAGUGCUGAGUAAGGCACCAGUGACUGAGAUGCCAAAAACUUAAAACAGAAGCCUUGCUCUAGUGGGUGAGUAUACUGAGAGGUCUGUAGAGAUGAUGAGGUUCAGUUCAUGCAGAAUGUGUUACCCAGAUGUAGCCACAGAGAAAAGCGAGCUGGGAGCAGAAGAUGCUGUAAAUUGGUGGCACAUUAUUAUGUGCUCACACUGGGGGCUGCCUCAUGGCAGAGGGAAAGGCUACUGCCUGGUGGGUUGUGGGUUGCUGGAGGCUGUGGGGCAGGGCCUGGGAAUGAGGCUGCAGGAGUGAGCAGUGUAUGGGGAAAGCAGGGCCAGGGGGUUGUGGGGUCUGGAUGCACACAGGGGAUGGAGGGUCAGAAUCAGGAGUCUGGGUGCCCACCAGGAAGGGUUGGGGUGCUCUCAAAGGGUGAGAGAAAUGAGGAAAACACGUGCUCUGGUGUGGAUUCAUCAACUGGCCUGUGGAUCACCAACCCCAUGGGGUUUGACUGCAGCAUGGCAAGGACAUCCAUGGGAAAAAAUACUAGAGAGGAUUGGCUUGUGGGAUGUAGGGAGGAGUAGUGACCUGUGCAUCUGCAACUUGAUAUGGGGCCUCUCAAGGAUUGAUUAAUGGAUUGUAAAGUUGUAUCUGACUGCAGUAAGAAA